AUUGAACGCUAGCGGCAGGCCUAACACAUGCAAGUCGAGCGGGCGGCGGACGGGUGAGUAAGGUAAGGGGACUGCCCGAUAGAGGGGGAUAACUACUGGAAACGGUAGCUAAUACCGCAUACUAUCGGAUAACCCAUAUGGGAUUAGCUAGUAGGUGGGGUAAUGGCUAACCUAGGCGACGAUCCCUAGCUGGUGUGGGAGGAUGUUCAGCCCCCCUGGGACUGAGACCCGGCCCCUACUCCUGCGGAGGCAGCAGUGGGGAAUAUUGCACAAUGGGCGCAAGCCUGAUGCAGCCAUGCCGCUUGUAUGAAGAAGGCCCUAGGGUUUUAAAGUACUUUCAGUUGGGAGGCGUUACCGACAGAAGAAGCACCGGCUAACUCCGUGCCAGCAGCCGCGGUAAUUC
rnacentral:rRNA from 1 species